CCUACGGGAGGCAGCAGUAGGGAAUUUUCGGCAAUGGGCGAAAGCCUGACCGAGCAAUGCCGCGUGAGUGAAGAAGGCCUUCGGGUUGUAAAGCUCUGUUGUAAAGGAAGAACGGAUGGCAUAGGGAAUGAUGCGAUUGUGACGGUACUUUACGAGGAAGUCACGGAUAACUACGUGGCAGCAGCCGCGGUAAUACGUAGGUGGCGAGCGGUAUCCGGAUUUAUUGGGUUUAAAGGGUGCGUAGGCGGAAUAUCAAGUCAGCGGUAAAAAUUCGGGGCUCAACCCCGUCGUACCGUUGAAACUGAUGUUCUUGAGUGGGCGAGAGGUAUGCGGAAUGCGUGGUGUAGCGGUGAAAUGCAUAGAUAUCACGCAGAACUCCGAUUGCGAAGGCAGCAUACCGGCGCCCAACUGACGCUGAAGCACGAAAGCGUGGGUAUCGAACAGGAUUAGAUACCCCUGUAGUC
rnacentral:rRNA from 1 species